AUAAACUGUGUAAAAAACUGUAAUUGAAUCGAUAAUGGUAUGUGUCGUAAUUUACUGGACGUAUAGCUUUUUACGGAAUUGGAAUCGGAGGUCCGGAAGUCCUCUAACGGCGGAAAUGCGGAGAAUUCUGCAUUCUGCUUUGUGUUAGCGCAGGAACUGCUGUUUUGUCUGCGUUAACCGGUUAACCCAGGGUGUUAACC
rnacentral:lncRNA from 1 species